CCGCCGAUCCACCGUUUGAACAAUGGGGGGACGCAGGAGGAUAGUGACGCAUGCGGAUGGAAGUGCAUGUGCAAGUUUCAAGACCGUCUGAUUGGCAAAUCCGUCAGGCAUCAAAGUCAAGGAACGAUGCGGAGUCCCGUAGGGACGUAGGUCACGAUUUCACACUGCCAAGAAAAGCCUCUAGUGAGGGGGAAGGCGCCAGUACCGUAAACCGACACAGGUAGGCGAGAUGAGAAUUCUAAGACGCGCGGGAUA
rnacentral:rRNA from 1 species